UAAGGUGGAAAAGAUUUUGAAUUCAAACCUUUUACUUAUAAAAAAAAAAUUUUAAAUAAAGGCUUCAAUGAGGGCCAUCCAUUUUAAUUUCUAUGGUCAUGGAAUAGGCACCCAAGUUGUGCAAACCUCAUUAGGCCCAAUCCUCAUUAGCACAUAUGUGGAAAUGCGGAGCUAAUCUUUUUCGUCCUCUUACUGUUCCUGGCUCCCACAUUAGUGUUGGUUUUGGUUGAGGGAAAGACCGAAAGAGUGGCACAAGUCCGAGGCUUUUUUCAUCUUUUUUUUUUUUUU
rnacentral:lncRNA from 1 species